GACAGAGGAUGCAAGCGUUAUCCGGAAUGAUUGGGCGUAAAGGGUGCGUAGGUGGGCAGGUAAGUCAGUGGUGAAAUCUCCGGGCUCAACCCGGAAACUGCCAUUGAUACUAUCAGUCUUGAAUAUCGUGGAGGUAAGCGGAAUAUGUCAUGUAGCGGUGAAAUGCUUAGAUAUGACAUAGAACACCAAUUGCGAAGGCAGCUUACUACCCGAAUAUUGACACUGAGGCACGAAAGCGUGGGGAUCAAACAGG
rnacentral:rRNA from 1 species